GGAGGGAUGAAGCCAUGGCUCAGUGGUAGAGGAUCUGUUCUGCAUGCAGACUGCCCCAGGCUCAAUCCCUGGCAUCUCCA